UGGGGAAUAUUGCACAAUGGGCGCAAGCCUGAUGCAGCCAUGCCGCGUGUGUGAAGAAGGCCUUCGGGUUGUAAAGCACUUUCAGCGAGGAGGAAGGCGUUAAGGUUAAUAACCUUGGCGAUUGACGUUACUCGCAGAAGAAGCACCGGCUAACUCCGUGCCAGCAGCCGCGGUAAUACGGAGGGUGCAAGCGUUAAUCGGAAUUACUGGGCGUAAAGCGCACGCAGGCGGUUUGUUAAGUCAGAUGUGAAAUCCCCGAGCUUAACUUGGGAACUGCAUUUGAAACUGGCAAGCUAGAGUCUUGUAGAGGGGGGUAGAAUUCCAGGUGUAGCGGUGAAAUGCGUAGAGAUCUGGAGGAAUACCGGUGGCGAAGGCGGCCCCCUGGACAAAGACUGACGCUCAGGUGCGAAAGCGUGGGGCAGCAAACAGGAUUAGAUACCCUGGUAGUCCACGCUGUAAACGAUGUCGAUUUGGAGGUUGUGGGCUUGACCCGUGGCUUCCGGAGCUAACGCGUUAAAUCGACCGCCUGGGGAGUACGGCCGCAAGGUU
rnacentral:rRNA from 1 species